AUGUUGCGGACCAUUUCUGAUUGCAUGGCACAGAAGCAUCCGAUAUCUGUGAUCACAGAUGGGGACCUUGCAAUGCAGAGAGCAAUCAGGGUGGUCUGGCCAGACUCAAACCAUAGACUAUGUAUAUGGCACAUUCAGCAGAACAUUGUACGCCAUCUGCAUGAUGACGACGUAAAGGAGGAAUUCAGAUCUUUCAUUUAUGAUACUUCUUCCAUUGAAGAGCAUGAGAUAGAAUGGAUAUACUUCUUACAACGGAAUAAAGUAACCAGUGAGGAGUCUUGGCUGCAUCAGAUGUAUCAAAUGAGAAAGUUGUGGUGUGCUCCAUAUCUUGAGGGGCGUUGUUUCCUAGGAUUGAGCAGCAAUCAGAGGAGUGAGAGCUUGAACUCUGUGCUACAUACGCAUCUUGAGGGUAAGAUGUCGUUGUUUGAAAUGCUAGAGCACUAUGAGCGUUGCCUUGCGUCGCGACGGAUUAAUGAAGCUCUCCAUGACGUCGAAGCCUUGCAGUCCGUUCCAUUUAUAGAGGAAAAUGCUUCGCCGCUUGAGAAACACGCCGCAACAGUUUUCACACCUAGUGUCUUUAAGAUGGUCUUAUGGAGCAUAGAUGCUGUCAGCAAAUGUCAGAUCAGAGAGAUACUAGAUGGAUCAGAAGAUUCCACUUAUGUUGUGUCCAAGCAGGAAAGAAUGGAUAAAAAGUUUGGAGUGCGCAUUGAAGAGCAAGGAGGUCUUUUGCACAGGGUGAGUUGUUCUUGCCGUAAGCUGGAAUGCGCAGGCACACCAUGUUCCCACAUUUUUUACAUAUUGGGGAUUUUAAAACAAACAAUUCUGCCCAGUUGUUGCGUUCCCACUAGGUGGACUAUGAAUGCAAAAUGUGCAUACGCACCUACCAGAAAAAACCAGAUGUAUGACUAUUCGGUAAGCCUGCAGAGGUACCGCGAGUUGCGGAAUUGUAGUCACGCCGCAAGUUUCAAGGCAUGCCACUCUGAUGAGGACUAUCACCAUCUAAAUAUGCUUUUGCAAGCACAACAUCAUGGCAAGCAAUCAAGUUUUGAACAAGCUGACAGCAAGGAGUCAACUAAUGCUCAGCAUAACAAUAUUAGGUUUGGCCCGUUGAUGCCGCACUCGGAGAAAGUUGAUAAGGUUCUGGAUCCCGUGCAUGUGCCAGGCCGAGGUGCACCGAAGAAAAGGCUGCAGGCAAAGACAAAGAAGUCAAGAUCACAGAAUAUCUGUGGCUAUUGCAAGAAUCCUGGUCACAAUUGA
rnacentral:rRNA from 1 species